rnacentral:rRNA from 1 species
CGGUCGCGUAACACGUAAGCAACCUGCCCUGAAGUGGGGGACAACAUCCCGAAAGGGGUGCUAAUACCGCAUGUGGUCACGAGUCGGCAUCGACUUGUGUCUAAAGAUUUAUCGCUUCAGGAUGGGCUUGCGGCCUAUCAGGUAGUUGGUGGGGUAAUGGCCUACCAAGCCGACGACGGGUAGCUGGUCUGAGAGGACGAUCAGCCGGAUUGGGACUGAGAUACGGCCCAGACUCCUACGGGGGGCAGCAAUUAGGAAUCUUGCGCAAUGGGGGAAACCCUGACGCAGCGACGUCGCGUGAAGGAUGAAGGCCCUCGGGUCGUAAACUUCUUUUGAGUGGGAAGAAAUUUGACGGUACCACUCGAAUAAGCCCCGGCUAACUACGUGCCAGCAGCCGCGGUAAUACGUAGGGGGCGAGCGUUGUCCGAAGUUACUGGGCGUAAAGCGCGCGUAGGCGGUUAUUUAAGUCUGGGGUGAAAGGUUCAGCGCUCAACGUGAACAGUGCCUUGG